AAAUUUGAAAAAUCGGAACCCUAUAAAAACUAAAGCCAGAAAAUAUGAAUUUGACUACAAAAACUUACAUGAAUUUUUACACAAAGAUUGAAGAAGUCGACAAGUGGUCCAGCAUCGAUAGUUUUCAGGAAUGUCAACAAUUUGUUAGUAAAUUGGCUGUUGUCAAUGAUGUCGCGGAACGUGGUGUAGCGCUAAUUGAAGAUUACAAUCAAUGCCUUACUAAAGACGAAGAACAGCUCCAAUAUUUAUUACUAGUUAUUAGUGAGUAUCGGAAAAAAUUCCCUAAUUGCAAUAAAAGUACGUUAAUUGAAUGAU